ACCAUUGAGAGAAGGUGGCUGCUGCCCUCAGCCAAGAUGGCUGCCAAGUGGUCAACCCGUCGACUUGGCUACUAGGAACCAAAAUGGCCUCCGCCCUCAGCCAAGAUGGCCACCAAAGUUUGGGGGAGUCGACCUUUGAGAGAAGGUGGCUGCUGCCCUCAGCCAAGAUGGCUGCCAAGUGGUCAACCCGUCGACUUGGCUACUAGGAAACAAAAUGGCCGCCGCCCUCAACAAAGAUGGCCGCCAAAGGUUGGGGGAGUCGACCAUUGAGAGAAGGUGGCUGCUGCCCUCAGCCAAGAUGGCCGACUGGGGGUCAAUGCACUGAGUCAAGAUGGCCGCCAAGUGGUCAACCCAUUGACCUGGCUACUAGGAAACAAAAUGGCCACUGCCCUCAGCCAAGAUGGCCGACUGGGGCUCAACCCAUUGAGCCAAGAUGGCUGCCGCCCUCAUCCAAGAUGGCCGGCAGGGGCUCAACCCAUGGAACCAAGAUGGCCGCCGCCCUCAUCCAAGAUGGCCGACAGGGGCUCAACCCGCUGAGACAAGAUGGCUGCCAAGGGGUCGUCCCAUUGUGCACCCCACUGGGACAGCCAAGAUGGCCGCCACCGGAAGUCCCCCCGCCUCAACAUGGACGCCACAUCAAGCCCCUCCCCUUUCACCGGAAGUCCCUCCUCCUUUCAGCC
rnacentral:lncRNA from 1 species